GUCUUUGUAGCUCACUUGGUUAGAGCGCUGCAACGGAAUCGCAGGGCACGUUCGAUUCCUGAUCGAGGAUC